UUUAACUCAGACCACCGUGGUGC
rnacentral:piRNA from 1 species